rnacentral:rRNA from 1 species
UACGAAGGGUGCAAGCGUUAAUCGGAAUUACUGGGCGUAAAGCGUGCGUAGGCGGUUGGCUAAGUCAGAUGUGAAAGCCCUGGGCUCAACCUGGGAAUGGCAUUUGAAACUGGCGAGCUAGAGUGUGAUAGAGGAUGGCGGAAUUCCCGGUGUAGCGGUGAAAUGCGUAGAGAUCGGGAGGAACACCGGUGGCGAAGGCGGAUCUCUGGGCCAUUACUGACGCUGAGGAGCGAAAGCGUGGGGAGCGAACAGG